CUCCUCAAAUAUCUCGCUUUGUCCAAAGAUAUUCAGUUUACUGUCAUAGAGGAGGAAAGAAACCAGAAAAUAUUCACAUUUAUGAAGCUGCAACCUGUUUUUUGAACCUGUUCUUACUACAGUUUAAUAAGAAAAGUCAGAAUGAUGGUGCUAAAGAUUGAAAUGAACUCAGUUUUUACUGUAAUUGGUUCUAAAACUGAAUGCAUUCAUAGUGAUUGGGAGAAAUCAGCAGAAGAUAAUUUACAUUUGGGCGCCAUCUGCUGGCUGAGACUGAAUCUGAACUGGUUUUAAACGGGAUGCUGCCACAAAAUGACCACGAAAUGACCACGAAAUGACCACGAAAUGACCACAGAUUAAAAAUGACGACGUGAUAAAAACCGACCACAGACAGAAGAAACCGACUAAAACUACAUGAAAAAUGACAACAAGCAGUUAUCAGGAGACUGAAAACGUGUUGCUGUCGGUAGCUUAAGAGUUUGGGGAGUUUUAUUUAUCCUUUUAUUGAGCCCAGAUGUUUGUUGUCUUAUAAUCCUCCCUGAAUCCUUCACAUCCCAUAAUACUGCUUUAAACUCAGGAAUGUAAAGUCACAUGGAAAUAAACUACCAGAGUAAAAGUGUUUGAAUUUGAAUCUUGUAAUUUGAAGUUGAAUUCUCAAAAUUAAUUAUUGCAAUAUAUUAUUAAAUUGAAUCUCGUUAUUUGGAUUUUAAUCUCUCAGUUUGAAUAAAUCAACAAAAAUUAGAAUUUAAAUCUUGUAAUUUGAACUUCUCUACUUGGGUAAAAACCUGGGCAAAAGUUUGAACAUUAAUGUUGUCAAUUUGAACGUUGUCAAAAAAUUACUGUAAAGAGACAAAAAUGACCAUAAAGAGACAAAAAAUAACUGUAAAGACACAAAAAUGACUUUAGAGCAGGGGCGAUUCUAGCAUCAGAGGUUUAGUGUGCUGAGCAGUGUUGCCAAUUGGCGACUUUCUCACUAAAUCUGGCGACUUUCCAAAGCCUCCUGGUGACUUUUUUGUCAAAAGCAACUAGCGACAAAUCUAACGACUUUUUCUGGCGUUUUGGAGACUCUGACAUCAGUGCCACCCCCCUCCCCCGUGAUCUGAUUGGCCACUCCGUGUGCCCCCCCAAAAUUUUCAUUGGAAAUUUACAUUACUGAAACUCCGAUUUCCGACGGUCCUGAACGCAACUUCGUUGUCCGACUGCAACUAAUUGCACCAAUGACGUUAGUUUGAUCUUUUGAUUGCAUUUCGUUUGGAUUUGAAGAAGCUUUGAAGACGUUUCCUGAUGCCGGAGGAGAAGACGAGCAGCUUUGGACCUUUGCGGUAAGAAGACUAUGGCCGUUUCUCAGUAGGUAACUGUCCGGACUUACGUUCUGACGUACUCGUGAAACGUCAUCAUGGAGACUGCAUCGGACCAGACUAGUGGCAUGAGAUAUGAAUGAGUUAAUAGGACACGCCUAUAGAUAUGAAUCAGUAGAUAGGACACGCCUGUAGAUAUGAAUCAGUAGAUAGGACACGCCUGUAGAUAUGAAUCAGUAGAUAGGACACGCCUGUAGAUAUGAAUCAGUAGAUAGGACACGCCCAUAGAUAUGAAUCAAUAGAUAGGCCACGCCCCUUUGAGCUGCGUGCUACAGCGAGGCUAAGCUAAUGGGGGCAAAGUUUCAGUGCAUUCCAUUGAUGUAGACGGCGUGAAAACGUAAACAACAAGUAUGCCGUCUCACUGUGCUACAUACAAUUACACACUACGUCGUACGAUUGAGACAAGGAAACUUGGAAUGACUUUUCAUAGGUAAGAAUAGUUUUUGGCUCUUUUUUCAUUAUGAAAUCUUGUUGAGAGCUUCCAGUCUAUGAGAGCUAACUAGUUAGCCACUAGCAAAACGCUAAGGCGAGCUAGCAGCUUGACAACCUAAUACCAGACGAUUAAUAGUAGCUGUAGUAUAGUUGUACAAGCAGUAGUAGUAAUACUAAAAGUACAAGCAGCAGUAGUAGUAUAAACAGCUGUUAGAGUCGUAGAAGUAGUAUCAGCAUUUGUAAUAAUAUUACAAGUUGUAGUAGCAGUGCCAGUAUCAGCAGCAGCUAAUGUACUACCAAUACUACUAGUAGUAGUCACAUUGCUAUUACAACUACCAAUACUACCAAUAGUAGUUAUGAAGCCUAACUCAUGUAUAUCCAGAUUACCAUCUAUGUUCUUCCUCCAAACCCAUUUUAUGAUUGGGAUUACAGGCAGUUCUUUAGGACUGCUCUCAAAUAAUUGAAAUGUUACUAAACAAGGUUAUACUUAUCAAAUUAAAUAGCUCUGGUCUCCAGUAUAUUGGCGAAUUCGGUUCUUUGUACUUAAUUUAUUAGCAUGAUUUCUUUUUAAUAUGUUGUGUACAGACUUACUUACUUCUCUGUCUACUUUACUUACUCCAUGUAGGUUUCCCAGAGACUAUGGGUUGAGGAGGAAUUGGAAGUUUGUCGGCUUAGACCUGGUGUCAUUCCAUCAGUGUUAAACUUCUCGGCUCAUCUUUGAAGAGUACGUGCCAGAAAGACCACGACCAAGCAGCCUUGAGAUCUUAGACAGCGUCUCCCUGAGGUCUCUCUCUAUCUCCCCACACAUCCACCAACCACUGGAACACAUCUCCAAAGUUCUGCUGGACCAGCUCAGCUUCCCCUCAGAAGAAGUGCUGCCACCUGCCAGAUGAAGGAGCCUUUUGAGAGGCAGCUGGCAUCGUGAUUGGACUGUACUUUGGUCUGUUCCAGUCCAGCUUCAGCUCCAGAGACGGCAGGCGGGACGAGUCAACGGAGGCCUGGUGGACGAAGACAUGCAGCUGAGUACAAUCCAGAAAACAACAGAGGAGGAGGAAACAAACGUAGUAGUAUAGUAGAAAAUAUACAUCGUAGAUUGUACAAAUAACAAGUCAAAGGAAAGAGACAUACACUGUAGAAUUGUAGUAAUUGUGGGCUGAUUGAUUUACUGAUUAUUGGUAUUUGAUUUUUUACUGGUAAUAAAUACAUUUACUUUGGCUCUGAACCUUUAUCUACCUGUGGUCGCUCUGUCUUAUGGAGUGAUUUGAUUGGUUAUACGUCACGAAUAAAACUCCUUUAACAUCUGUAAACAAAACAAAAACAUAUCAACAAAGUUUUCUGUUAGAGUUUGUGUUCUUCUAAGUUUAACUCCAAGAUUUUAAAUACUUUCAUUUACUGCAAAUGAAUAUCUACUCCAAAUGUCUCACUAAUAAUCAUUAUCAGCCUUAAAAACCCACAAAACACCCCUCUAUACUGGACAACACUUAGUACAGUCCGGUUCCCCCUUCUAUAAAUCUGCUUGGAAUCUUCCACUUCCUGUUUGUCAAAGUGGCCUUCUACCUGGACAGGUUUUGUUGGAGCUCAUGCAACAAACAUUUUGGGUAACUGCACUUUAAUAUGGAUGGAUGACACUGAAUUAGAGUCUGUUUUAAUGAGACUGAGUUAAGAUGUGUAGCUCUGUCAUUAAAUAGGAAAUUAUUUCUCAGAAUUCACAGAGAAAAGUCUGAAAUGUUUGCUAGGUUAGCGUCCCACAUGUUCUUUGGCUCAGCUAAAGCUAACUCUCUCCAACUUCUGGAUCUCUUGAGUUGCUUGUUGUUAAAAUAUCUUGCUAGAGGUGCUGAAGCUCAGAAAGUCUGAGAUGUUUGUUCAAAAUAAGCUCAUUCUAAAGUCUUAUCUGAACUGUCCUCUUUUGUUUGAACUUUCCCUAAACUUAGGAGUUAAUGACAGAGCAGCACAUCCAGACUCAGUCUCAUUUAUGUAGAGAUUAAACUUCAGUGUCAUUCAUUGAUGUUAAAGUGCAGUUUUUCAAAUGUUUGUUGCACAUGCUCCCGACCAAACCAGUCCAGGUGGAAGACGAUGUGAAGAGAAAGCUCCAGAGGAUUAAUAUCACACAUUUACGUUGGAAAUAAAUGUCCUUUAAUUAGACAUUGUCAUGCAAAAGUUGGAUUUCCCUUUAAUGAUGUUCAAAUCUUUGUUGAGUGUUUUGUUGAUGUUGUUUUCUAAAUGUUUUUUGACACUCUGCCCCAAAGAUUAAAACCUUUUACGGCUCACAAGCUGCAACAAUUCACACAUUAUCAACUAUCUUUCUGACUAAACUAAGAUAAAAAGUGAAAAACUGCCUGA